rnacentral:rRNA from 1 species
GCAUCGAUGAAGAACGCAGCGAAAUGCGAUAAGUAAUGUGAAUUGCAGAAUUCAGUGAAUCAUCGAAUCUUUGAACGCUCAUUGCGCCCCUUGGUAUUCCGAGGGGCAUGCCUGUUCGAGCGUCAUUAUAACCACUCAAGCCUCGGCUUGGUCUUGGGGUUCGCGGUCUCGCGGCCCUUAAAAUCAGUGGCGGUGCCGUCUGGCUCUAAGCGUAGUAAUUUUCUCGCUAUAGGGUCCAGGCGACCACCUGCCAUAACCCCCCAUUCUUUACGGUUGACCUCGGAUCAGGUAGGGAUACCCGCUGAACUUAAGCAUAUCAAUAAGCGGAGGA